GGGGAAGUAAAAAUGUUAUAUUAUAAUAAGACAUGUGAUUUAGGAGAUAUUGGUGCUAUCAUCUUUGGAAAACAUAACCUGCCAUAGAGUGAAACCAGGAGGUUAAAACAAGAUGGACCGACCAUCAACAAGAGUACUGUUUAAUAUAUAUUCAAAAGAGAUCGAGAAUGAAUGAGCAGAAGACUCCCAUCAGCUGUUCCAAUGGAAAAUCACGACCUCUCAGUUUCCAGACUUAUACUAGCUCUAAGACCUUGAACAUAUCAACUAAAGGAGAAACAAGAUCUUCAUGAGGAAGGAUCCUGAAACACCACAUGUAUUAGUCUGUUUUCACACUGCUGAUAAAGACAUACCAGGGCUGGGAAGAAAAAGAGGUUUUAAUGGAUUCAGAGUUCCACAUGGCUGGGGAGGCCUCACAAUCAUGGCAGAAGGUGAAAG
rnacentral:lncRNA from 1 species